AUAAACAAGAAUCUGUUAAAGAUCAAUGUGAUUUAUAAAUCUGGCAGAUUUAGCAAACAUUUGAUUCCCAUUAAUAGAAGAAAAUGAAUCAUAUUAAAAGUUAAGACUCUUUAUGAGAUAUUCAAGAGAGAAAGAGAAGACCAGAUUCAUCACCACAACAACAAAAAGAAGCUAACUUUUGAGCAAUAGAAUCUGAUGUUUUGCUUUAAAGGAAGUUGAAGUAUUUUUAGUUCCUAAUCUUAUAACAAAUCAGAGGCAGAUUGAUUCUUGUCAAUAUAAUUAACUUGCCAAACAAACAAUCACUCUUUGCAGUUUAGAAUCAAAUCUCCAGAACAAUUAACUAAACCCAGAAAAAACAUCAAACCAGACGAUGAUGAUUUAAGUUGUCGGAACCAUAUUCAACAACCAAAAACUGAUUAUCAAAGGAAAUAAACUAACCAGAAGGAAAGAGUCACAACGAAAUGAGAAAGUCACUCUCGUGAAGACAGAAAACAGAGACGAAGAUAAAUUUUCAUUUUCUUUCUGUGUUUUAGCACGCAAACUUCCGCUAAACGGCCCUGUUUUGGACCCAUGGCUUUCAGACGAGAGCCGUUCGAUUAGAUAUUAAGUACACGUGGCGUUAAACAAGAGAUCGAGUGGGAACUCUAUUUUCUCUUUCUUUUCUUUUUAUUACUGAUAAUAUCUUUUAUCGACAUUAUUUGGAGGGAAAUCUGGCUCUUCGCUAUACGCAUGGAAUGAUUUUAUAUUAGACUGUUUGAAAAAAAAUGGUUGAGCUUAUGAUUUUUUUAAUUAGUGUAUUAUUUAUGUUAUAUGAAGGUUUAUUGGACUUAAGUCCAAUAAAUAAUACCCUAAUUGAUUAUAAUACAUAAAUAAUACACAUUUGAA